UACGAAGGGGGCUAGCGUUAAUCGGAAUUACUGGGCGUAAAGGGUGCGUAGGCGGUUCGUUAAGUCUGUUGUGAAAUCCCCGGGCUCAACCUGGGAAUGGCAAUGGAUACUGGCGAGCUAGAGUGUGAUAGAGGAUGGUGGAAUUCCCGGUGUAGCGGUGAAAUGCGUAGAGAUCGGGAGGAACAUCAGUGGCGAAGGCGGCCAUCUGGAUCAACACUGACGCUGAAGCACGAAAGCGUGGGGAGCAAACAGGG
rnacentral:rRNA from 1 species